UUAUCGUUUAGUGAAAAGAUGCACAAAACCAGAUAGAAAAGAGUUCCAAAAAAUUGCUAUUGCUACUGCUAUUGGAUUCGCCAUCAUGGGCUUCAUUGGAUUCUUUGUGAAAUUGAUCCACAUUCCAAUCAACAACAUCAUUGUAGGCACUUAAAAUAUUUAACGAUGGUUACAGAAUAAAGAUUAGUUUUAUCAAAUGAAA